GUGUUGUGUGUGUCUAUAUAAUAUGUGUGUGUAUAUCAUAGAAUUAUAUAUGUGUGUGUGUAUAUUCUAUGAUAUACACACACAUAUUAUAUAGACACACACCACAC